CCUGAUUAACUAUAAGAGGUCAAGCCUGCCCAGUGACAUUGUUCAACGGCCGCGGUAUCCUAACCGUGCGAAGGUAGCGUAAUCACUUGUUCUUUAAAUGAGGACUAGUAUGAACGGCUUCACGAAGGCUAUACUGUCUCCCUUAUCUAAUCAGUUAAACUAAUCUCCCCGUGAAGAAGCGGGGAUUUACAUAUAAGACGAGAAGACCCUAUGGAGCUUAAAACACUUCUAAACAUUUGAAUUCCACACUACCAUUUUCAGAAACCUUCAUGAAACCCAUCAUUUUGUUUUAAGUUUUAGGUUGGGGUGACCACGGAGAAUAACCUAACCUCCACGUAGAAAGAACUUUCUUUUCUAAGCAAAGAGCUACAUCUUUAUGCAUCAACAUAUUGACCUAAUUGACCCAAUUAUUUGAUCAACGAAC
rnacentral:rRNA from 1 species